UGGGGAAUAUUGGGCAAUGGGCGCAAGCCUGACCCAGCAACGCCGCGUGAGGGAAGAAGGUCUUCGGAUUGUAAACCUCUGUCCCCCGGGACGAAAAAAAUGACGGUACCGGGGGAGGAAGCUCCGGCUAACUACGUGCCAGCAGCCGCGGUAAUAAGUAGGGAGCGAGCGUUGUCCGGAAUUACUGGGCGUAAAGGGUGCGCAGGCGGCAUGGCAAGUCAGAUGUGAAAUCCCCGUGCUUAACUCGGGGGGUGCAUUUGAAACUGCUGUGCUUGAGUGCAGGAGAGGAAAGCGGAAUUCCUAGUGUAGCGGUGCAAUGCGUAGAUAUUAGGAGGAACACCAGUGGCGAAGGCGGCUUUCUGGACUGCAACUGACGCUGAGGCACGAAAGCGUUGGGAGCAAACAG
rnacentral:rRNA from 1 species